GAGUAUAGAGCAGUUUGGUAGCUCAUAAGGCUCAUAACCUUGGGGUU
rnacentral:tRNA from 1 species